AAAGACUUGACGGUACUUCACACCAACCUAGAGGAGCCUGUCUAACAACUGAUACCCCACGAUUAACCCAACCUGCUUUAGCCCUACAGUCUAUAUACCGCCGUCGCCAGCUUACCUUGCAAAAGUAAUAAAGUGAGCACAAUAGGCCCCCCCUAACACGACAGGUCGAGGUGUAGCUUAUAAGCAGGCAAAGAUGGGCUACAUUCUCUAUAACAGAGCAUACGAAUAAACUAUGAAACUAGAAACUGAAGGAGGAUUUAGCAGUAUGUUAAAAAUAGAAAACUCAACAGAAAUUAACGCAAUGAAGUGCGUACACACCGCCCGUCAUCCCUG
rnacentral:rRNA from 1 species